GUUUGAGGCUCCUCUUGUAGGACUCUCCCCUCCAUCGCAUUCAUCCUGGCUUUCCUUCCUCGGUGCUCUUUUUCCACACUGAGUACAGCUUUUGGGAGCAGCACUGUGGCAGCAUCUUGGACUUUUGCACGCUUCCUCUUUCUCUCCUCUGGGAGAGUGUUUACCGGCCAGGCCCCCUUUGUCUCGCUCUUCCUGCCUUUCUUCCAGAGUGAAUUCUGCAGCAGGAUCCUCCCUGACACCCUGCUGCCUCUUUCUGUUCACGUCUGUUUUCUCCCGGGCUGCUGGAUUGCUGGACUUCCUCCAUCUCCGGCCGGAUCGCACCCUCACCCGGUUUACUCCGUUAUGGGCCGGCGGAGUCAGUCCGUGGUCCCUCCUCCCGGCUGGGAUGUCUCUGCCUCCUCCUGUCUUCCCCCUCAGCCAUCCCCCCACCACGCUGGAGGCUGCGCCGGCAGUCACAGCGGACCCAGGCUUCGCCGUGGAGUACAAAAAGCUCCCUUUCUCAGUCCGGAGGAAGAGGCAUUGGGUCUGUGUCUUCCCGCUGCCCUCGGAGGUCUUCAGAGUGGCAACUGUGACCAAAGAUCCGAUCCCAGCCUGCCUGGCAUCCAGCCCCAAUGGAAGGCCGUACCCCAUGCAACCCCACUCCCUGUUAAGGUACACAUCCGCAGGCCGGGUGCAGGAGGUCGAACCUCCACGGCCCGCAGGAGAAGUUAUGGGCGCUUGUCCCCCACUCAGGAGACCACCAGCCUUCCGGCGGUUCUUGGAGCACAGGGCCCAGGCUCGGAGGCCCCGGAUUAGCGGCAGAUCUCCAAGGCCCAGCUCCAUUCGGCUGGGGAAGGGCAAAGAGGCUCGGGAGCACUUCUGCAGCAUCUCCCUGGUGGAGGCCGACACAUUCAGAUGAGGUGGACAGGGGGACUUACUGCCGCCUGUUCCACCCUGAGCAGCUGAUCACUGCUUAGGAGGAUGCUGCUAACAAUUAAGCCUGUGGAAACAAUAUCACAGGCGUAGUGCUGGACAGGAUUCCCAAGCUGUCUGACCAGCUCCAGAGGUGGGACCGGCUUCACCUCUCCCCUGAUGGAGCAUCUGUCUGUCGACUACAUCCUAAGACACCACAGACUCUAACGCUACGUACCUGAAUCCCUACCGGCUGCUCCAAGGGACUCUCCUCCAGUCCGUAACCUGGAACUCGGACUACCCUCCAGUUAACGUUCCAUCCUGAUCAUCUGCCUGCCUAUUCAUUAUAUAUCCGUCUGGUUCCGCUAUCUUGUCAAUAAACUAUUGUACUUACCUCA
ensembl:lncRNA